rnacentral:rRNA from 1 species
ACGAACGCUGGCGGCGUGCUUAACACCUGCAAGUCGAACGGAAAGGCCCUGCUUGCAGGGUACUCGAGUGGCGAACGGGUGAGUAACACGUGGGUGAUCUGCCCUGCACUUCGGGAUAAGCCUGGGAAACUGGGUCUAAUACCGGAUAGGAGCCAUUUUUAGUGUGAUGGUUGGAAAGUUUUUUCGGUGUAGGAUGAGCUCGCGGCCUAUCAGCUUGUUGGUGGGGUAAUGGCCUACCAAGGCGGCGACGGGUAGCCGGCCUGAGAGGGUGGACGGCCACAUUGGGACUGAGAUACGGCCCAGACUCCUACGGGAGGCAGCAGUGGGGAAUAUUGCACAAUGGGCGCAAGCCUGAUGCAGCGACGCCGCGGGGGGGAUGACGGCCUUCGGGUUGGAAACUCCUUUCGCUAGGGACGAAGCUUUUUGUGACGGUACCUAGAUAAGAAGCACCGGCUAACUACGUG